AUUGAGCGCUGGCGGCAGGCCUAACACAUGCAAGUCGAGCGGGGUUUUCGGACCUAGCGGCGGACGGGUGAGUAAUGCGUAGGAAGCUGCCCGAUAGAGGGGGAUACCAGUUGGAAACGACUGUUAAUACCGCAUAAUGUCUACGGACCAAAGUGUGGGACCUUCGGGCCACAUGCUAUCGGAUGCGCCUACGUGGGAUUAGCUAGUUGGUGAGGUAAUGGCUCACCAAGGCGACGAUCUCUAGCUGGUUUGAGAGGAUGAUCAGCCACACUGAAACUGAGACACGGCGCAGACUCCUACGGGAGGCAGCAGUGGGGAAUAUUGGACAAUGGGCGCAAGCCUGAUCCAGCCAUGCCGCGUGUGUGAAGAAGGCCUUCGGGUUGUAAAGCACUUUCAGCGAGGAGGAAGGGGUGUGUGUUAAUAGUACACACCUUUGACGUUGCCUACAGAAGAAGCACCGGCUAACUCUGUGCCAGCCGCCGCAGUAAUAC
rnacentral:rRNA from 1 species